rnacentral:misc_RNA from 1 species
GCAAACUUGGUCAUUUAGAGGAAGUAAAAGUCGUAACAAGGUUUCCGUAGGUGAACCUGCGGAAGGAUCAUUACUGAAAUUAGGAUGUGCUGGCGGAAUUCGUAUGUGCACUCCAAAUCCAAAUUCACCUGUGCAUUCAAAGUAGAGCUCUUUGUUAGGGCUCUAUGCUUUUUAUUUACACUUUCAUACUGCCCGAGAGAAUGUUUUCGUAUGACUUAACAACUUUCAACAAUGGAUCUCUUGGUUCUCGCAUCGAUGAAGAACGCAGC